UCACACUUACUUCCUAUCUUGCCUACUACUUUUAUGCUUCCGCAUAACUUCCACGCAGUUUGUGUUUAGGUUGAACUAGUCAACCAUUCAUAGUUUAAGACUUGAACGUUCGCUAGUACCAUAGGAUGUGUUGGCUUGUAGGAAAAUAAGCAACCCGUGACAAGCUGUCUCCACCUUUGCCUCUAUCACCUUUCUGUUGGGUACUAAUCAUGGCCAGCAGCUGGUUAAAACCAGCAGGUAUGACAGCUAUGGAGUCAUAGAUUAUGAUGCCAAUCUAAGGCAGAGCAUUUUGUUGGCAAGAAGAUGGGGCUAUCUUGCCCUAUCUCUUGUGGGAGGUUCUCCCAUGGGAUUUUUCAUUUUUCUCAAACAUCUUGUUGAAGAAUCUGUUGAAACAAUAGAUAUGUUCUAUGGAUUUGCUGUUUCUCUGUUUGCUUUUGAGAGGAUCUUUGCUGAAGUCAUGGAUUUUGCCAUUUUUAAUGGAGUCUGUUCUCUGGUCAUGAUUUCUUAUCUUUGAACCAUGUGUCUCCUUCGAUUGAGGCAGUGUAGUUUGGGGUAGGGAGGUUGGGAGUUUGGGGAUGGGUUGUUGCCCCUCUCUGCAACCACACAGUCGAUGAUUUCAAGAUAAACAAACAACCCUUCUUGAUGGUCGCUAGAUAAAACUACAAACCUCCCUGGUGAGUCCACAAAAACCUGAAAUCCUAAAACCUUUAUAAUCAGUGACUUUGAUGAUAUCCUCCUCUUCCAAAUGAAGUCAGAGUUUGAGCUAACCCGUAUCCUGGCUGGGCAGAUGUCACAUCGUGUUUUUGUAGCCAUGGCGGGCUUAGCCUUUUUUCUGAUGAUAGGGAAAUCUGAGCCUCCGCCUCUGCGCAUUUAUUUUUCCCUUUUUUUAAAACUUUUUUGUGGAUUUUCUCUAAGUUCUAAUUACCCCCUUUUUUUCUUUUUAUUGCUAUUACUUUUUUCUCUCUUUAGAUUUCCUUUUCCCUGUACAACUUUUUUUUUCGAAUGAGCCCCAACUGUGAGGGUUUCAUGAACAGCUCGAAAAGAAGAAUGGAUGAGGUAGCAGAGGAGUACGGGGUUUCUUCAAGGGUGGUUGCCCCCCUUCAACUUGGCCUAUGAUUUCGCCAUUGAUUGCUAAAAAACCAGCAACCCUUUAAAACGGAACAGCGGAGCCAGGGAAAGAGAGAGGUAUGCAUAUCUAUACAUGUCAAUAUGCGUCUGUACGUGUGUGUGUUUUUGACAGGGUAUGAUCAUACCCUUAUUGCGCCUUUUCUUUUCUUUCCUUUUUUGAUGCUGGACUAUGAUAGGCAAUGGCAGUGGCUGUGGUGGUGAUGGUGGGGGUUGAAAAGGGGCCGUGAUGAUGAUUCUAGGCAUUCUUUCCCAGCAAAUCAAAUCGGACAUUCGAGAUUAACCCGUUUCUUGGAUGGGCAAACCCGGUACGGUAUUUGGGACAUUAUUUGUGUCCUAUGCAAUUGGUGAUUUGUAGCCAUGGCGUGGUGGAGGACUCAAUAUCUUUGUCUAGUUGAAACUAACAGAUUUGAGCCCUCAAUUAUUUUUGUCUAUUAAUUUCUAAAAUUUAUAAGGUAUUACUAUUCUAAUCUAUUCUGACUGAGAAAAAAAAUACUCUGGAUUUGAAUAGAGCUUAUAAGUUAUAACUAAUUUAUUUACUUCAUCAUUUUUCACCCCUCUUUAUUUGCCCCAGAAAAAAAAAACGAAAGUGAGAUUUGUAAUUGUCAAUAUGAAUAGUAAUAUCUACUGUUGUAUAGUAUAGUAUAUAGUAUUCGCAAAAUGUUUACUCUAAAAGCAACUGCAGAUCUGCAAAAGUGUCCACGG
rnacentral:lncRNA from 1 species